UGUUUAAUAUAUAUUUUAAUACAUGUUAUAUAAUUACACACAGCAAAUCUGCUCAAAUUUUAAUAUGUAUGCAAAUCGUCCUGGGAUCUUGUUACAGUGCAGUUUCUGAUUCAGUGGGUGUAGAUCAGGCUGAGAUUCUGCAUUUCUAACUAGCUCCCAGGCGAUCCUGAUGCUCCUUGUUCUAAGACCACACUUAGAGCAGCAAGGUCUGGGGGCGGGGGUGUGGGUUCCAUUGUGUUUUACUGAUAGGAUUGCACAGUAAAAAAUAUUUGGAGAUGCCUGGGGAAUGAAUGGAGUACACUUCCUUCAGGUUAUCCCCGCUUAACCACUGCUUCUCUCAGGGGAGUUUUUGGCAGGUACUAUGAACAAAUGUGAACCUGAAAUAGGCAAUACUUCAAGAUGGAUCCUGAGUGGCUAACUGGGCCUAAAUUUUAAAUAGAGCCAAGUGGGGCCAUCUGCCAACUAAAGGUCAGAGGUCUCAAGUUCCUCCAAAACCCACACGACUGUUCAACUUUGGGACUUCCAGAGCUCACCUGAACCAACCAAUCAGAGGCCAUCUGCCUUGACCAAUUAUGACUUAGCUGCCUCAACCAAUCAGGGCUCAGUUGCCUUGACCAGUCAGAGCUCAGUUCUAUCAACCAAUCAGAACCAGAUAAGCCAGCUGCAGAAUAUAUCCUGAAGUACCUGCUUUAUGGAAUUACUCACACUAUUCACCAACAAGAAGAGAAAUGUUAUGAGAAUGACUUGGAUGACCUGAAAAAUGAAUGAGCUCCUUGAACAAGGUACGAUUAUUAAGUUUCUAUUGUGAAGUCAAAUAGAACAAUUCACUCAAAGGACACAAUGUUUGAUUGAGAACAUUCUUAAUUUUAUUUUCUUUAAUUUUAUAAAAUACACUUUGUAAGAUAAGUUUCUAAAAGUUUAUCCUUUAUGUGUGUUAAAAUUGCAAUUCUAUAUCAGAAAUGAAGGAAACACUUUCAGUUGAUUAACUCUCUUUGUGUGUGUAUAUAUGUGUAUGUAUGCAUGUGAGGUUUUCAGGGAAGGGUUGGUUAUUUGUUAUGUUAUUAAAUCAAAACAAAACGCAAGGUACGGAUUACUUCACUGUCCUUUAUCUUGAUUGGUUUCUUACAAAACAUUUUCCCUCUCCUCCCUCUAUGCAGCCUGGAAGCUUAUCUUGUAUACUGGUUUGAAAACAAGUAUCAAGUGUCUUUUUGUAAAGAUCUUACAUCUCCUUAAAUAUUUCUGAAACCACUUUGGGGGAAAAGAACAAUACAACUCUUUACAACAAAAGAGCUGUAGUACAAAUCUUUCCUUCAAUUAAAACCAAUCAGACUUUUUUUUUUUUUAACCCAAAG